GAUGAACGCUAGCGGCAGGCUUAACACAUGCAAGUCGAGGGGCAACAGGAGUAGCAAUACUUGCUGGCGACCGGCGCACGGGUGAGUAACGCGUAUGCAACCUACCCAUAACAGGGGGAUAGCUUCCGGAAACGGAAAUUAAUACCCCAUAGCAUUCCGAUGCCGCAUGGCAAUGGGAUUAAAACCACGGUGGUUAUGGAUGGGCAUGCGUGCCAUUAGCUAGUUGGCGGGGUAACGGCCCACCAAGGCUACGAUGGCUAGGGGGUCUAAAAGGAUGAUCCCCCACACUGGUACUGAGACACGGACCAGACUCCUACGGGUGGCUG
rnacentral:rRNA from 1 species